rnacentral:rRNA from 1 species
CAGCAGCCGCGGUAACACGAAGGGGGCUAGCGUUGCUCGGAAUUACUGGGCGUAAAGGGCGCGUAGGCGGACAAUUAAGUCGGGGGUGAAAGCCCGGGGCUCAACCUCGGAAUUGCCUUCGAUACUGGCUGUCUUGAGUGUGAGAGAGGUGUGUGGAACUCCGAGUGUAGAGGUGAAAUUCGUAGAUAUUCGGAAGAACACCAGUGGCGAAGGCGACACACUGGCUCACUACUGACGCUGAGGCGCGAAAGCGUGGGGAGCAAACAGGAUUAGAUACCCCCGUAGUCCCUGUCCUUAUACA